rnacentral:lncRNA from 10 species
AGGCAAGAGAGAAUGAGCUUGUGCAGGGCAAUUCCCGUUUUCAAAACCAUCAGAUCUCGUGAGACUUAUGCACUAUCAUGAGAACAGCAGGGGAGAAAACGGUCCCCGUUAUUCAAUUACUUCCCACCAGGUUCCUCCCAUGACACAUGGGAAUUGUGGGAGUUACAGUUCAAGAUGAGAUUUGGGUGGGGACACAGCCAAACCAUAUCACCCCAGGAGAGUGGAGAUCAGUCAUGAGAUUCCACAGUUGCUGUGGAAGCAGAAUCUAUAGAACACAGCAGCUCAACAAUCAACAGGGCUUUGAAGUGGAAAGGGAGUGGGUGGUGGGGGGGUGUGUGGCUUUAGGGUCUCUGGCUUAGGAAGCUGAGUCUCCGUAGUGCCAUUCAUACAGAUGGAAUGAGGGAAGAAGCAGUUUCAUGGGAAAGUAGUAAAUUUGAUUGAGUAACAAGAGCUUGGGGGAUCCAGAAGAGAGCUAGGUUUGCAGUUCAGGAGUCCAGGAGAGAGUCAGACUGAAAACAUAAGCCCAUGGAUAGUCAGUCAUUGAAGCCAUGGGAAUGAAGAUCACCUAUGGGAAACACAGAUAGAAGCGAAUGUUACCACAAUGAAGUGUGGUCUAUACAAUUAAUUGCUGCAAAGAGGUCAGAUGAGAAAAUGAAGAUGUUAUGUGUCUUUCUCAGCCCAUGAGUAGUAGAUUUUCAGUUCAAAUUCCAACCUUUCUCCAAAUCCAUAUUCCGUACACAGCACCACCUCUCAGCAUAUAUUUGCUAUGUGGUAGCAGAAUCCUUGGUGAAUGAGCAUCGAAAGGCAUGUUUUGAUCAGGCUGGGAAAUGAGGAGAGAAUGCGAAGAUCUGAAAGGAUCCCCUGUCUGGAAUAAAUCUUGGUAAAAGAUGCUACGAAAGCUGGACCUAGGACAGGAGGAUAUGAAGAGCAAAGGGAGACAGGCAGAAUGAGAAUAUGGUAAUAGCAGAGGUACCAAAGCGUUGUGUAGGGGAAUAAAGUCCAGCAAAGUGGGGAGGAGCAGAAAAGAAGAACCCACGUCCUAGGCCAGCCUACACAGCACUCCUGAGCAGGGGAGAUCUGGUAAUUACGCUAUUGAUUUUACACAUCUGGAUAAAGGAAAUGCCAGUGAUAGGCUGCUGACAACCACCUUUCUCUACUACGCUCCUUAUGUGCAUAUCCAACCACUUAUUUGAAACCUCUACUCUUGAUUUCUCAAGAGUAGAAUUCUUUCCCAAGCCUCCCCAUUUCAGUAAAUU